rnacentral:tRNA from 1 species
GGGCCGGUGGUCUAGAGGCCAUGACGCCGCCCUUACGAGGCGGAGGUCGGGGGUUCGAUUCCCCCCCGGCCCA